rnacentral:rRNA from 1 species
ACGCUGGCGGCAGGCCUAACACAUGCAAGUCGAGCGGUAGAGAGAAGCUUGCUUCUCUUGAGAGCGGCGGACGGGUGAGUAAUGCCUAGGAAUCUGCCUGGUAGUGGGGGAUAACGUUCGGAAACGGACGCUAAUACCGCAUACGUCCUACGGGAGAAAGCAGGGGACCUUCGGGCCUUGCGCUAUCAGAUGAGCCUAGGUCGGAUUAGCUAGUUGGUGGGGUAAUGGCUCACCAAGGCGACGAUCCGUAACUGGUCUGAGAGGAUGAUCAGUCACACUGGAACUGAGACACGGUCCAGACUCCUACGGGAGGCAGCAGUGGGGAAUAUUGGACAAUGGGCGAAAGCCUGAUCCAGCCAUGCCGCGUGUGUGAAGAAGGUCUUCGGAUUGUAAAGCACUUUAAGUUGGGAGGAAGGGUUGUAGAUUAAUACUCUGCAAUUUUGACGUUACCGACAGAAUAAGCACCGGCUAACUCUGUGCCAGCAGCCGCGGUAAUACAGAGGGUGCAAGCGUUAAUCGGAAUUACUGGGCGUAAAGCGCGCGUAGGUGGUUUGUUAAGUUGGAUGUGAAAUCCCCGGGCUCAACCUGGGAACUGCAUUCAAAACUGACCGACUAGAGUAUGGUAGAGGGUGGUGGAAUUUCCUGUGUAGCGGUGAAAUGCGUAGAUAUAGGAAGGAACACCGGUGGCGAAGGCGACACCUGGACUAAUACUGACACUGAGGUGCGAAAGCGUGGGGAGCAAAC